rnacentral:rRNA from 1 species
AUUGAACGCUGGCGGCAGGCCUAACACAUGCAAGUCGAACGAGUGGCGGACGGGUGAGUAAUGUCUCGGAAACUGCCUGAUGGAGGGGGAUAACUACUGGAAACGGUAGCUAAUACCGCAUACCAUCAGAUGUGCCCAGAUGGGAUUAGCUAGUGGGUGGGGUAAAGGCUCACCAAGGCGACGAUCCGUAGCUGGUCUGAGAGGAUGACCAGCCACACUGGAACUGAGACACGGUCCAGACUCCUACGGGAGGCAGCAGGGGGGAAUAUUGGACAAUGGGCGCAAGCCUGAUGCAGCCAUGCCGCGUGUAUGAAGAAGGCCUUCGGGUUGUAAAGUACUUUCAGCGGGGAGGCGUUACCCGCAGAAGAAGCACCGGCUAACUCCGUGCCAGCAGCCGCGGUAAUUC